rnacentral:rRNA from 1 species
CAGCAGCCGCGGGAAUACGUAGGGUGCAAGCGUUAAUCGGAAUUACUGGGCGUAAAGCGUGCGCAGGCGGUUUUGUAAGACAGAGGUGAAAUCCCCGGGCUCAACCUGGGAACUGCCUUUGUGACUGCAAGGCUAGAGUACGGCAGAGGGGGAUGGAAUUCCGCGUGUAGCAGUGAAAUGCGUAGAUAUGCGGAGGAACACCGAUGGCGAAGGCAAUCCCCUGGGCCUGUACUGACGCUCAUGCACGAAAGCGUGGGGAGCAAACAGGAUUAGAUACCCGGGUAGUCCCUGUCUCUUAUAC